UUUUAUAUUUUACGUGACUAUAUGCUAUAUGCUAUAUGAUAUCACACAUAAUCACACCAAAACACACAAUACAAUAAUACACUAUAUGAAUAUAUAUAGAUGCACCUCCCCUCACGGAGAGAGCACUUAUGUAUUUGGCUGAUUCAACAACCAAAACACGAUUCGUUAAUGAUCCUUCCGCAGGUUCACCUACGGAAA
rnacentral:misc_RNA from 1 species